AUAUAUGUCAUUUUUAUGUAGUU
rnacentral:snRNA from 1 species